rnacentral:rRNA from 1 species
CUAGCAUAUCAAUAAGCGGAGGAAAAGAAACUAACAAGGAUUCCCCUAGUAGCGGCGAGCGAAGCGGGAAGAGCUCAAAUUUAUAAUCUGGCACCUUUGGUGUCCGAGUUGUAAUCUCUAGAAGUGUUUUCCGCGUUGGACCGCACACAAGUCUGUUGGAAUACAGCGGCAUAGUGGUGAUACCCCAUUACACGGUGCGGACGCCCAGCGCUUUGUGAUACACUUUCGACGAGUCGAGUUGUUUGGGAAUGCAGCUCAAAUUGGGUGGUAAAUUCCAUCUAAAGCUAAAUAUUGGCGAGAGACCGAUAGCGAACAAGUACCGUGAGGGAAAGAUGAAAAGCACUUUGGAAAGAGAGUUAAAAGUACGUGAAAUUGUUGGAAGGGAAACGCUUGAAGUCAGACUUGCUUGCCGGGCUUGCUCGGUUUGCAGGCCAGCAUCAGUUUUCCGGGGCGGAUAAUGGCAGUUAGAAUGUAGCAGUCUCGGCUGUGUUAUAGCUUUCUGCUGGAUACGUCCUGGGGGACUGAGGAACGCAGCGUGCCGUAUGGCGAGGGCUUCGGUCCUUUCACGCUUAGGAUGCUGGUGGAAUGGCUUUAAACGACCCGUCUUGAAACACGGACCAAGGAGUCUAACAUGCUUGCGAGUAUUUGGGUGUCAAACCCGGAUGCGUAAUGAAAGUGAAUGGAGGUGGGAAGCGCAAGCUGCACCAUCGACCGAUCUGGAUUUUCUAAGAUGGAUUUGAGUAAGAGCACGUAUGUUGGGACCCGAAAGAUGGUGAACUAUGCCUGAAUAGGGCGAAGCCAGAGGAAACUCUGGUGGAGGCUCGUAGCGGUUCUGACGUGCAAAUCGAUCGUCAAAUUUGGGUAUAGGGGCGAAAGACUAAUCGAACCAUCUAGUAGCUGGUUCCUGCCGAA